UGUCGCAUGGUGUAACGGUAGCACCACAGAAUUUGACUCUGUUAGUAAAGGUUCGAUUCCUUUUGCGACUUCCA
rnacentral:tRNA from 1 species